GAUGAACGCUGGCGGCGUGCCUAAUACAUGCAAGUCGAGCGAACAGACGAGGAGCUUGCUCCUCUGACGUUAGCGGCGGACGGGUGAGUAACACGUGGAUACCCUACCUAUAAGACUGGGAUAACUUCGGGAAACCGGAGCUAAUACCGGAUAAUAUAUUGCACCGCAUGGUUCAAUAGUGAAAGACGGUUUUGCUGUCACUUAUAGAUGGAUCCGCGCCGCAUUAGCUAGUUGGUAAGGUAACGGCUUACCAAGGCAACGAUGCGUAGCCGAACUGAGAGGGUGAUCGGCCACACUGGAACUGAGACACGGUCCAGACUCCUACGGGAGGCAGCAGUAGGGAAUCUUACGCAAUGGGCGAAAGCCUGACGGAGCAACGCCGCGUGAGUGAUGAAGGUCUUCGGAUCGUAAAACUCUGUUAUUAGGGAAGAACAAAUGUGUAAGUAACUAUGCACGUCUUGACGGUACCUAAUCAGAAAGCCACGGCUAACUACGUG
rnacentral:rRNA from 1 species